AGUGGCGGACGGGUGAGUAACGCGUGAGAAUCUGCCUUGGGGUCGGGGACAACCACUGGAAACGGUGGCUAAUACCGGAUACGCCUUCGGGUAAAAGAUUUAUUGCCCUAAGAGGAGCUCGCGUCUGAUUAGCUAGUUGGUGAGGUAAGAGCUCACCAAGGCAGCGAUCAGUAGCUGGUCUGAGAGGACGAUCAGCCACACUGGGACUGAGACACGGCCCAGACUCCUACGGGAGGCAGCAGUGGGGAAUUUUCCGCAAUGGGCGAAAGCCUGACGGAGCAAGACCGCGUGAGGGAGGAAGGCUCUUGGGUUGUAAACCUCUUUUCUCAGGGAAGAAGAUCUGACGGUACCUGAGGAAUCAGCCUCGGCUAACUCCGUGCCAGCAGCCGCGGUAAUACGGAGGAGGCAAGCGUUAUCCGGAAUUAUUGGGCGUAAAGCGUCCGCAGGUGGCGAUUCAAGUCUGCUGUCAAAGCACGGGGCUUAACUCCUUAAAGGCAGUGGAAACUGAAUAGCUAGAGUGCCGUAGGGGUAGAGGGAAUUCCCGGUGUAGCGGUGAAAUGCGUAGAGAUCGGGAAGAACAUCGGUGGCGAAAGCGCUCUACUGGACGGCAACUGACACUCAGGGACGAAAGCUAGGGGAGCGAAUGGGAUUAGAUACCCC
rnacentral:rRNA from 1 species